rnacentral:ncRNA from 1 species
AUAGUUUGAUCCUGGCUAUGUACUUUGCAUUUAAGUUGAAAAAUGCAUGAAAUAUUCUAAAGUUAUUUUCAAUCCAUUAAAAAGGUAACUCAUUUUCAAUCUCAGCAUAAAAUAUUAAACAAUAGUUUCAAGACUGAUUUAAUUACUUAAAAAGAUUUGGUUAAAUAUUGUGCCAGCAGCCGCGGUUAUACUCUGCAAUCAAGUAAAGACUUGUCGGUGCUUAGUUAAUAUAAGGCUUAUCUUCAUAGAAGUCUAACACAUUGAAAAGUGAAAUUUAAUAAUGUGUAUAAAAACCUAUUUAUAAUAACCUUUCGUGAAACUAAAAAAAUUGGAGCAAAAACUAGGAUUAGAUACCCUACUAUUUCCAAUCGUAAUACAUCAUGCCUAAAAACUAAAAGCUAUGUCCUUCAAAUUUAAAGGAUUUGGCGGUAAUUUAGUCCAGUUAGAGGAACCUGUUCGAUAAACGAUAAACCCCGCAAAAUCUUACCUCCUCUCCAAAGUUUGUAUACCGUCAUUAUUAGAUGACUCCUAGAAGAAAAGUUAUUUCAAUAAAUAAUUUUUACUUAGUAUAUUAGAUCAAGGUGCAACCCAUGAGGAGGCCAGAAUGGGUUACAAUAAAACUUAUUUAAAACGGAAGAAAUAUUGAAAUAUUUUUCCGAAGGAGGAUUUAAUAGUAAGAUUAGUUUAACAAGCUUCCCUGAUAGAGGAUCUAAAUUGAGUACAUAUCGCCCGUCGCUUUCGUCUAAAAACGAAAUAAGUCGUAACAUA